rnacentral:rRNA from 1 species
CCCAGACAGCCAGGAUGUUGGCUUAGAAGCAGCCAUCAUUUAAAGAAAGCGUAAUAGCUCACUGGUCGAGUCGGCCUGCGCGGAAGAUGUAACGGGGCUAAACCAUGCACCGAAGCUGCGGCAGCGACACUGUGUGUUGUUGGGUAGGGGAGCGUUCUGUAAGCCUGCGAAGGUGUCCCGUGAGGGAUGCUGGAGGUAUCAGAAGUGCGAAUGCUGACAUAAGUAACGAUAAAGCGGGUGAAAAGCCCGCUCGCCGGAAGACCAAGGGUUCCUGUCCAACGUUAAUCGGGGCAGGGUGAGUCGACCCCUAAGGCGAGGCCGAAAGGCGUAGUCGAUGGGAAACGGGUUAAUAUUCCCGUACUUGGUGUUACUGCGAAGGGGGGACGGAGAAGGCUAUGUUGGCCGGGCGACGGUUGUCCCGGUUUAAGCGUGUAGGCUGGUUUUCCAGGCAAAUCCGGAAAAUCAAGGCUGAGGCGUGAUGACGAGGCACUACGGUGCUGAAGCAACAAAUGCCCUGCUUCCAGGAAAAGCCUCUAAGCAUCAGGUAACAUCAAAUCGUACCCCAAACCGACACAGGUGGUCAGGUAGAGAAUACCAAGGCGCUUGAGAGAACU